rnacentral:lncRNA from 1 species
UCACUGUCCUAUUAUCUUUUCUGUACUGUCUCAUCCAAAUAAAAUCGCCGUCCCCAUGCAUCACUCUGCGGGGUGGUAAGCACACACCACAUCGCAAUGCCCCUCUUGGGCCCAGCCUGGACUCAGUUGGCUCCCCAGCACAGGUGAACAAGGAGAACGGGAGUGUGACCCAGCAAUGAACGAUCGCACUCCCAGGGUCCUCUCCCAGCUGCAUAGCGACCGUUCUGUGGUUAGUGUACUUCCAGGGAUCAUGGCUUAGGUACAAAAGAGAAGAUCAUAGGGAAUUCAAACACAGGAUUCACAAGAAAAUCAUCUGUAGUCAAGAAAAUCUACUGGCUGUCCCCAGCAGUGUCUCGGCAGCAUCCAAAUGGACUUCUGGCCAAACAACAGGGCAGAGCCACAAAUAUCACCUCCCAUGGACUACUCCAUUGAAGGUCCUGUGGGUACAAAAUCCAAUAAUUAGGAUCCAUGGAGGCAGAGGAUGUGACGUUCUUACUCUCCAGAGCAUGCUGCACACUCCCUGUUGCACCUGAUGAACAGGACAGAGAUUCUCUGGAGACAGGACAAUGAGGACAACACUCCAUGCUGGGGACAGCGUGAGAUCUGAAUCUGCACAGUCUGCUCUGUGCCCAGCUCUGCCCUUCGCGCCACGUGACCCAGGGCCGGAUCAACAAACUUCUCUAGGAGCGCCCAUGCCUCGUGUCUAAAAUAUGAGUGACAUAUUGAAAGCUACAUUUGAAACUAAGGAUAUGCUAUAAGUUGGCUAACUGAAUUUAAAUAAAAAAUAAAAUGAAAAAAAUUAAUAAAUAAAAUAGGAGUGACAGUAAUUGGAAUUACUCGUGAGGACAGAGAGAAGUAUUAUUCAUGUAAGGUCCGUGGAGUGUGUCGCGUUACUGUCCACCAAAUUUGCGUGGCGGCCUGCUGGUGGCCUGCCCCACGUAACUGGGUCCUCUGUGCAAACCCUGCUUGCUCAGCAGGCCUGAGCCUCUGAACAGCUCAGAGGUGCCACGCGCAUCAGAGCUGCUGCCCCCAUGGUCCCAGCCAGCCCCAGCCAACCUCUGCCAUGGGCAUUCUUUUCUCAGUUCUAUGUUGUGUGCCUGCCAUUUUUUCUUAAAACAUAGAUGUCUAGGGGCUGGCUGUCUCUACCAGAAUCUAGGGCAUGUGGGAUAUACAGCAGUGUUGCCG